UUGACACGUGCGCUUUGUCAGCAAAAUACAACAGAAACGCAACCGCAACCGUGGGAGCCUAUCGUCAGCAAUAAUAAUAAGAUCAAUGCACUUGGCCAAAACACAUUCUGGUCAACGUGUGCAUUUCCGCCACGAGCGCCGAGUCAGCGCACCGAUCAGCACCACCGUGAGAGCCAUCGUGUCACAAGACACCUAUCAGCAACAACAGCAGUGACCACGGCGGCAGCGACGCCAAUAGCAGCAGCGGCAGCUUUCAUAUAAAUAGUACUUGUAUAAUUAUUCUUAAGUUUAGUUCUAAUCCAACUCCGAAAGUGAAUAAAUGUUUUUUUAAUCCAAAAACCGCUUUCGAAUAUUUAAUUGGCGCCCGAGCAGGGACCCGCGAUCGUUAUCUUAGAAAGUUACGCGUCGAAAAACAUAGUACCAACUAUUGUUCGCGAGAGUACCUAUAACGAAAUAUAGCUACUAGUGAACGCGACGAACAUCCUUAGUGCCUAAUCCGCAGCUAUCGAAACGUUAGUAUCUAAUCCGUAGCUAACGGGAGCAUUCGAACGAUCCGUAAUAGUGCUUAAUCCGCAGCUACGCCGUGUUCAUGAAAGAGUGACUCUACGUAAACGAGGUACGGUCGUGGGUCAAAAACAUUGUUGCCACCCUAUAAGUGUCCGCCCGUAGGGUACCGCGUAAACAGUGUGCGUCGCAGGAUCUUUAAUAACAGACACACCACUAAUACUGGACGAAAGCGAGCAAUCCGGACCAUCAUCGCGGGAGUCAACGAUGCUAAAAAUUAUAUUGAUAUUCGCACCGCUAUGUCUGGGUAUAACCACAAUCCUCGACUACUCACACUCUCAGUUAAUUCCGAUAAAGACAGGAACUUCGGCAAUGCAGAACGGAACUUUCAAAAUUAUUCACGUAUUUGACAUUUCAGAAUAUGAAAAAAUCUUCGGAACUUUCGAAGAAACCCUUAACAAUAUAAGACGAUUUAACUAAUUUAAUUCAUGCCAUAGACUGGGCAAAAACAAAUACAAUAAACUCAAUAAUAUUGUCAGAAUCCGAAGUCAAAAUAAUAGAGCAGAUACUAGAAAGAGAAAAAAUCAUUUUCUUAAAUGCAGAAGAAUUGUUAGAAUUUAGCCAAAUAAAAAUCGCAAGUAAUGGAAAAAAUAUACUCUAUAUAAUCAACAUACCUUUAAUCUUAAAUGAAGUUUGUACAACCAUGUUAAUUAAGCCAAUUAAAAGAAAAAAUUAUAUCAAUGAAAUAAAAUUCGAAAAUAUUGUAAAAUGCGAAAAUGCAAUCUAUGCUAUAAGAGACUCAUGCGAGUCGCAUAAUGAAAAAACAAUUUGUAAUAAAAAUAAGUUAGUCGAUUUAAGAAAUUAUACUUGUACUAUGCCACUAUUAAAAAGCCAACCUCCAAACUGCCGUGCUAUCAACAAUCAACACGUACCCAAUCACGAACAGCUGUUUGUCGGAACAAUAUUGCUCAACGAUGCUCAAGUUUUCUAUAUUGCGACCGAAGACGUCCGCAUCUAAGAGGGGAAGAGUUAACGACAGACCCUAUAAAAGGGCAUUGCACCGGUCCAAUUAUAUCACGGCUCCAGUGCAUGCACUUUUGACACGUGCGCUUUGUCAGCAAAAUACAACAGCAACGCAACCGCAACCGUGGGACCUAUCGUCAGCAAUAAUAAUAAGAUCAAUACACUUGGCCAAAACACAUUCUGGUCAACGUGUGCAUUUCCGCCACGAGCGCCGAGUCAGCGCACCGAUCAGCACCACCGUGAGAGCCAUCGUGUCACAAGACACCUAUCAGCAGCAACAGCAGUGACCACGGCGGCAGCGACGCCAAUAGCAGCAGCGACAGCUUUCAUAUAAAUAGUACUUGUAUAAUUAUUCUUAAGUUUAGUUCUAAUCCAACUCCGAAGGUGAAUAAAUGUUUUUUUAAUCCAAAAA